CCAAUCUUGCAAGGUGUGACGGUGCAGUAUUAUGUCCAAAACGCAAUCUAUUUAUCGUGAUAAUAAAAUCUCGGUUGCCAUCCUUCAAUUGAUUGUACCAGGGUCUGACAGGGUUGAAAAAUACACUGGUAAGAAAAGGAGUAACAUGGCCACUGUGAAUGUUUUCUUAUUUUACAAAAUUUCAUAUCUAUUUCAAGAAGUAUGUUGGGCAGUUCUGGAGGGAUACCACUUAAGAGAUCAAUCGCUGUUGUUAAUGAUCCUAGAGAUCUAUUUAUAUUAUAAGAUAAAAUGUUAUUCAUUAUUAAUUUGUUAUUAGAGUAUAUUACUUUGAGACAGUAUCUUUCUGCAAGUAAAAUCCGCCUCAAAAUUAAAGGCAUUAUUUUUGUUUCAACUUCCAUGGCCCUUAUGGGAGUUGAACACAUUGCACCAGAUACUAUUCUCAGAGCUCUGUUCUGUAAGAUAUCUAAUUUAUUUGCAUGCCUGCUGUUCAUGUAUGCAAGUGAGCUAUAGUCAAAGUGACUUCUGACAAUAGAUUUGUACAAAAUUGAAAGUAUUUUGGGAUCUGCUCCCCAGGAUAUACCAGCAAUACAUUUCAUAACAUUUAAUGCCUUAAGUGCACCUUUGGAUAUGGCUUUAUAUGUUCUUCAAAUGUUAGUUUUCUGUCUAUUGUUAUGCCCAAAAAUUUCUUUGAAUUUACUCUGUUAAUAAUUUGUCCAUUAUAAAAAAUAUUAUAAAUUGGGUUAUCAUGUCCAAAAAUCAUUACACUGCUUUUAGAUGGGUUGAUCGUUAAAUGUAAAAUUUCAUGAUAAUAUUGAAAGAGUUGAAAUAAUGAAUGGUCAAUAUUGUUGAUGGCAAUCUGCAAAUUAUAAUUGCUGCUAUACAAAACAAUGUCAUCAGCAUAUUGUAAAAUAUUUACAUCACAACUAUUUACAUAUUUACAAAUUUCACUAGUAUAUAUAUUGUACAAUAAAGGUAAUAUUACAGCACCCUUUUGAUGCAGUUUUUGGCCCAAAUAAUUGAUUAUUGUAUUUUAAUUGAUAUUUAUCAAUACAAAUUGAGAUCUCUGUUAUUGUUGGAUAAUGGUAACUUCCCAUAGUAUCAUCAUGGACAGACCAAUCGCAAAGUGAUGCGAGGCCAGCACUAAUGAAACAAAGAUCAAUGGCGGAAGGAUUUCGCCCUGGGUUAUUGACAGUAGUAAAUUUGCCAUCAUUUAAAAUACAUAAGUCUAAGUUAUCUAUUACAUUGAAUAAAUCCAGGCCUCUGCUUUUAGUAGAUAUACAACCAAAUGCAAUGUGAUGGGCAUUGAAAUCUCCACAUAUGAAAAUAGGUUUUGGAAGAUUAUUAAUAAUAUUUUGCAAUCUAUUUAUUCUUAUAUGUCCCUUAGGCGGACAGUAAACACAAAGAAUAGUCAAAUUUCCACUACUAGUAGAUAAGGACAGAGCAAUGGUUUGAAUAUCUUCAUAAAAAGUAGUGUCUAAGAUAUUAUAUUUUAAAUAAGGUUUAAUGAGUAUUGCUACUCCAUUAUGAUGGUUAUUAGAUUUUUAUUAUAAAUGUUAAAUCCGGGUAUUUUAAAACUAUUAUCUUUAAGCCAAGUUUUAUUUAAUAAACAUAUAUCAAUAGACUUUUCUUUUAAAAAUGAAGUAAGUAAGGGUUUUUUGCUAUUUGCACUUUGUAUAUUGUAUUGAGCGAUACGUAACUUUGAUUGAAUAUGGUAUGGAUCCAUUAUUUUAAAUUUUUUUUUAAGCAUCUUUAAUUGUUGCAACAGUGGUAGGAGCAUCAUCACCUUUAUUAGCCAGUUCCACCAAUGUCUGUACUAGGGCCAUCAGCACAUCAUUGUUGGCAACAAUAUGGUUUUUAAUGUCUUGUUGUGUACACACAUACUUAUCAUUAUUUACAUUAUCUACAAUAUUAUUUACAGAUUUAUCUACAAUUUUAUUUACAGGUUUAUUUAUAAUUUUAUGUAUAGGUUUAUUUACAAUAUUAUUUAAAAAUGGUUGUUUGGGUGUUGAAAGAGGGGGGAAAUCUAAUUCUUUUCUUGUAUUAAUUAAAUUCUUAGUUGAAGCACUUGCAUAUGUUACUUUUUGUUUUUUUUUCCAUAAUUUUCUUAAUUUUAAUUGGACAUAGUUUGGAGAAUGCUAAAUGAGAUCCACUGCAAUUUACACAGCAGAUUUCAUUAGGUGUAUUACAUUCCUUAAACAAGUGAUCACCUCCACAUAUGGAACAUCUUUGCUUACUAUUGCAAACUUUUGCAGAGUGGUUGAAUUUAAAGCAUUUAAAACAUUGCUGUAAUGGUGGAACAUAUUCAAAUACCCUAAAUAAAAAUAAAUCGUAUUGAACAUUAUCGGGUAACAAAUUAGAUAAAAAAGUUAUGCUGACAGUCUGUAGUGGGACACGCUCUUUACCAAUUUUCUUUGUAAAUCUUUUUAUAGCUAUUAUUUCAUAAAUGGAGCUUAAUCUGCUAUAAAGUUCUUUGUUUGAGAUAUUGGUUGGAACAAAUCUUAUGACUCCAAUUUUUUCUAUUUGAGCAGCUGGAAUAAAUGCCCUCAUGGCAUGUUUAGUUAAAAAAUUACUGUUAUUAAUAAAAUUAUUGGCUGUAUUACACUGUUUAAAAAUAACAGCUAUUUUACUUGCGUUGACACGCUGUAUAGCCGUCACACCUUUGAUGUCAUUGGCGAAAAUAUGGUUUAAGUAAGUAGGGCUCUUGUUGCCCAGUUUUUCAUUGCUCACUGAUUCAACGUAAACUUUAAAUUCUGUAUUUAUCGUAUUUUCGGGGUAUAGUCUUUUAUAGUUGGGUUUAUAAUAGGGUAAAAAGUCCUUCUCACCGCCUCCACCAUCACCAUCAACAUUUUUUAUAUGGUUGUCCUCGGACCGAGGACGUUUCAGUGAGGUGGGCGGGUUAUCCCCGCCCCCCUCAUUUCCCUCCAUCUCAGCAGCCACUCACUAUAUUAAUAAUUAUUUUUAAUAGCAAAACAAUGAGAAAUACUUCAAUUAUUAAUAUAAAAUUAAAAUUCAAAAAUUUUUGUAAACCGCGCCAAUUGAAGUUCCCGCCAAAAGUCCCUGUGCUCACCACAGAACACUUUUACCAAAGAGAAUUUAAACAGUGCAGUGCAUAAAAGUCUCGGAACCAAAGAGAAUUUAAACACGAUAUAUACUAGAACAUCGCAGAUGACAACAAUUUUACUCUAACAAUACAAUUAUUAUUUCCUAGCUGUAGGUAUAGGGGUAGUGUUUAAAGCGAUAGCAAAUAGCCAGGUUUUCCCAGUUUCCUGGAUGUUCCCCCACAAACCUUAUUCAAAUUCAAAUAUAUUUAUUCAAAAUAGUAUGUGACAUUACUUAUUUUAAGUCAAAAAACUACCACCCAUUCCAAAAUGAAUGCAUCAGGCCUGAGAAGAAUGGGCACCACAAACUCAGCGAGCUUUUUUUUCAUCAAAAAUAUGUUUUACAAUUAAAGUAACACUUACAAAGUGACAUUGUACAAUUAAACUUAUUAUUUAAUUGCCUGAGGGCGGUCGCUCCAUUCCCAAUCUCUGGUAUCAUUAAGAAAGUCAUUUAUGCUAUAGUAACCUUUACCACUCAAACGUUUUUUAACAAUUCUUUUGAAUAACGUAAUACUUUUGUUUUGAAAAUUUUCUGGGAUCCUGUUGUAAAAGCAUAUACAUCGCCCCACAAAAGACUUGCUAACUCGACUUAGCCGAGUAGUAGGCAUUAGAAGCUUAUGUCUGUCCCUGGUGUUAACAUUAUGGUUAUGACAGUUUCUCGCAAAUUCACUUAUGUGCCUAUGAACAUACAUUACAUUAUCAAGAAUAUAUUGAGAAGCAACAGUCAAGAUGUUAAUUUCUUUGAAUUUUGCUCUCCAUGAUUCCUCAGGACCUAGCUUAUAAAUAGCGCGAAUAGCCCUCUUCUGCAGCACAAAUAUUGUAUUAAUAUCGGCAGUGCUGCCCCACAGCAAUAUACCAUAGGACAUAAUACUAUGGAAGUAACUAAAGUAUACAUGUCGCGCCGUAUCUAUGUCAGUUAAUUGUCUAAUCUUUUUAACCGCGUAUGCUGCAGAACUAAGUCUGUUCGCCAAUCCUUCAAUAUAGCCCCAUUGUAAUUUGGAAUCCAGAUUAAUGCCAAGAAAUUUAGCAGAUUCCAGCGAUUUUAUCAUCUCUCCGUUUAACAAAACACUUGCAUCAACAUUUUUAACAUUUGGUGCGAAAAAUUUUAUAUAUUUCGUUUUCUUGCUAUUUAACAAUAGGUUAUUAGCGCUAAACCUACACUACCUACACGAUGUCAGAUAGAAUAUCGUUCACUUCGUCAUACAUAGCUUGGUUUCUUUUCACUUUGAAAACCAGUGAAGUGUCGUCCGCAAACAAUACUACCUUAUGUUUUUUCUCUAUAAGAUUAGGAAGAUCAUUUAUAUAGAUAAGGAAGAGGAACGGUCCGAGAAUAGACCCUUGUGGUACCCCCAUACUGAAAGGACUUCCAGGAGGUCUCCUGCCAUUCAUGUUGACCUUCUGAAUUCUAUUGUUUAGAUAUGAAAUCAGAAGAUCGAGCGCAGUUCCCUUUAUGCCAUAGUGACAUAGCUUCCUGAGCAGCGUUGAAUGUGGAACACAAUCAAAAGCCUUAGAUAAAUCACAGAAGAUGCCAAGUGCAUUCUGCGAUUCCUCGGGUCAGAAGAGCAUCCCGACUUAAAUAUUAUGUAUAAGUAUUUAAGCAUAAUAAAGUUUUAUCCCUCAACACAUAGCUGAUAGUAUUGUAGAAAUAAGUUUUCUGAUACCUACAUAUAUAAGGCUUAAUUGUAAAUUGCUAUAAUAAGUAGAUUAUAAGAAAUUUUGUAUAUAUAUUUUACUAUCAAAAAGAAAUUUGGAACAUGAAUAUUUUUUCGGUAGUGUUUAAUUUCUCUUUGGGUUCACGUACUCACUUACUCAGUACUCACAGACCAAAGAGGAUGUAAAUACUACGUAAUAAGAGGCGGGACUGCCUACAGUCCGUUCACAGUUAUUUUACCUCUGACAGAAGUCAUUAUAUGUUUUCUUUAUGUUGGUGUUCCUGUCGAGUCGUUCUGUGAAGUUCCUAGCGUUUUUCUUUCAUAUAUUUUGUGAUAUUUCAUCUGUUCGCAUGCCGAAAAGAAUUCAAAGUAGCGGAAGAAAUAUUAUACUAUCGGUGCGUGAUUUCUGUGAAAGAGAAAAAGAAAAUAAUGCUCUUUUAAUUCCAUUUGGAAAUGUUCGUCAACGAGUUGCCGCCAUGACGGGUAUGUAAAUUAGGAUUACCCAUCUUUAGUAUUUUUCCCAAUUUUAGUGGAAACUUGAUGUCCUAGCGUUACAGCCAUAAGUACAAAAUUUCUGUCGCGUCAACUUUUACUUUCUCUCACCAUAAAUGUUAAGACUAAUUGUUGUUAUUCUUGCGAGUACAGUAACUAUCUUGUGAUGUUUUUUGUAUGUUUUAUUUUUAUUGUAAUAUAAUCAAUCAUUUGCUUCAAUUUCAUAUACAAGUUCUAUGUCUUUUAUAUUCGUCUUUUUAAUAUAUUAUAUGAUUUCAUAAUUUAAUAGAGUAAUCAUUGUCAAUUAUUAUAAGUCGCCUUGAGUGGUUUUAAUAUGAAUAAAUAAAUAAUUUAAAUGCCAAGCUGACCUUUAUUUUUUUUAAUUAGAACUACAAUUGUUAUUUGGUAGCAUUUGAUACGAUUGGGUAAAUAUGUAAAUAGGAACAUUAUUGGUAAGAAAUAGCUCUCUACAUAUACUAAACAGCUAUUUUUAAUUUCAAAUAUUUUAUUUGCUUUAUAAAAUAAAACUUUUUUCCUGUUUCAGGAAUAUCUGAAAAACCGUAACCCCCAUAAGUAAAGGAGGCGAAGUUGCUGCAUCCACUUUUCAAAAAGAUUCUACGCCCAGAAAAAAGCGCAUCCAAGAAAAAAAAUAUUUUGGAUGAUUUUGAUCUGUGUGCAGUUCGAAAUAAAAUACUUGAAAUGUAGGUAUCAGAAAGGAGGCUUUGGGGAAACUUUAAGCAGAGUUAAAAAUUGAUAUAAAUUUUCGUGGAGGUCGUACUACAUUAUGGAAAAUUAUACCUACCUACGAAAAAAUGCUGUGCGAAACUCUAUUUCACUAUUUCUUGUGAGAAAGUGAAAUAUUGUGAAAAACGUUUGAUAGCUAUGAAUGACAGGUAGCCUUAAAUGCAAAUAGAUUACUUUAUUUCUGAUUAAGAUAAUUAUCCGGAUGAAUAUAUUGUGGUUAUUACUGUAUAACUAACUAAUACAAUAACAAAUGACAGCUUACAAUUAAUACACUAAACGUGCUUUUUUAAGAUACAAAGUAGCAACUCAUAAAUGGGUUGGUAAUUCUUUGGUACUAGUUAAAUACUUUUGAUAAGCUUACACAUAUUUUUUUGAGUUAUUUUCAUAUUGUUAUUAUUAUCAUUUCGUAUCUUACUGAACAGUUUAUUAAAUUGGAAUAACGAACUUCGCUCCUGACGGAAAUCUCCCGAUUACUUAAUUGUUUUUUAUUUUAAAAAUAAUAUUAUUAGAUAGGCAUAUUCUUAAAGAUAUAUAAAGGUAUAGUCUAACAUUAAAUAACAAAGCGAACGGAAAUUAAUAUAAUAAAAUAGGUAUAAAUAAUAUUAUAAGAUAGGUAUAUUUUUUAUCAUCGAAAUCCGAAUAAUAAAACUAUUAAAAUAAC